rnacentral:rRNA from 1 species
UACGUGUGGAGCAAGCGUUGUUCGGAAUUAUUGGGCAUAAAGGGCGCGUAGGUGGAGUGUCGUGUCCGUGGUGAAAUCCCCCGGCUUAACCGGGGAAUUGCCGCGGAAACUGGCAUUCUAGAGUGAAACAGGGGUGAGUGGAACUCUGGGUGUAGCGGUGAAAUGCGUAGAUAUCCAGGGGAACGCCGGUGGCGAAAGCGGCUCACUGGGUUUUAACUGACACUGAGGCGCGAAAGCGUGGGGAGCAAACAGG